rnacentral:rRNA from 1 species
UCGCCAUUUAAAGUGGUACGCGAGCUGGGUUUAGAACGUCGUGAGACAGUUCGGUCCCUAUCUGCCGUGGGCGCUGGAGAACUGAGGGGGGCUGCUCCUAGUACGAGAGGACCGGAGUGGACGCAUCACUGGUGUUCGGGUUGUCAUGCCAAUGGCACUGCCCGGUAGCUAAAUGCGGAAGAGAUAAGUGCUGAAAGCAUCUAAGCACGAAACUUGCCCCGAGAUGAGUUCUCCCUGAGACUUUAAGUCUCCUGAAGGAACGUUGAAGACGACGACGUUGAUAGGCCGGGUGUGUAAGCGCAGCGAUGCGUUGAGCUAACCGGUACUAAUGAACCGUGAGGCUUAACCUUACAACGCCGAAG